rnacentral:rRNA from 1 species
AUGGAUCUACUAGGGAACCCUUUCAAGGGGGUCGUCGCCGAUGUCAAAGGGAGAGCGUCUUGGUACAGGGACGACUGGGUUGCAGGGCUCCGAACUGGCUUCAGGAUAUUGGCACCUACCAUGUAUAUAUUCUUUGCCUCCGCACUCCCUGUCAUCUCCUUCGGAGAGCAGCUGAGCAACGAAACAGAUGGUAUCCUGAGCACAGUUGAAACUUUGGCAUCUACGGCGAUAUGUGGGAUAAUACACUCUAUUCUUGGAGGGCAGCCACUGUUGAUCGUUGGAGUUGCUGAACCUACUAUUAUCAUGUAUACGUACCUUUACAAGUUUGCCAAGAAGCAGCCAGAUCUGGGAGAACAGCUAUAUUUGGCUUGGGCUGGAUGGGUCUGCAUUUGGACUGCUAUCAUGCUCUUUCUGCUGGCCAUGUUCAAUGCUUCCAACAUUAUAAGCAGGUUCACGAGGGUUGCAGGAGAGCUUUUUGGUAUGCUUAUCACCGUCCUCUUCCUGCAACAAGCUAUCAAGGGAAUUGUAAGCGAGUUCAGUAUGCCCAAAGAUGAUGAGAUUUCUGACCCCAGCUCACCCAUAUACCAGUUCCAGUGGAUUUAUGUCAAUGGCCUACUUGGUGUUAUAUUUUCCAUUGGCUUGCUGUACACUGCACUGAAGACUAGGCGUGCAAGGUCAUGGCUGUUUGGGAUAGGAUGGCUUAGAAGCUUCAUUGCCGAUUAUGGUGUACCACUGAUGGUGAUUGUGUGGACAGCAUUUUCAUUUGCACUACCAAGCAAAGUCCCUUCAGGAGUGCCUAGGAGGCUCUUCAGUCCACUUCCCUGGGAGUCAAUCUCACUGAGACAUUGGACCGUAGCAAAGGAUUUGUUUUCUGUCCCUCCAACAUAUAUAUUCGCAGCCAUCGUGCCUGCUUUGAUGGUCGCAGGACUUUAUUUCUUUGAUCACAGUGUAGCUUCACAGUUGGCUCAGCAAAAGGAAUUUAAUUUGAAGAAGCCUUCGGCCUACCAUUAUGACAUUUUGGUACUNNNNNNNNNGGUCCUACUAUGUGGUUUGCUUGGCAUUCCUCCAUCAAAUGGAGUACUUCCUCAGUCCCCAAUGCAUACCAGAAGCCUUGCUGUCCUCAAGGGGCAGUUGCUACGCAAAAAGAUGCUUCAAACUGCCAAAGAGGGCAUGUCAAACCGUGCGAGCAGUUUGGAAAUAUAUGGCAAGAUGCAGGAAGUGUUCAUCCAAAUGGACAGCAACAUGAAUGCUAAUUCUGUUGACAAGGACUUGAAGAGCUUGAAGGAUGCUGUGCUGCGGGAAGGUGACGAAGAAGGGAAAUUGGCUGGAGAAUUUGAUCCUAGCAAACAUAUCGAAGCACAUUUGCCUGUUCGCGUGAAUGAACAGAGACUAAGCAACCUGCUGCAAUCAUUACUUGUUGGUGGGUGUGUUGGAGCCAUGCCGGUUAUCAAGAUGAUACCGACUUCGGUCCUCUGGGGUUACUUUGCCUAUAUGGCCAUUGAUAGCCUACCUGGGAACCAGUUUUGGGAAAGGUUGCAGCUUCUGUGCAUUGGAGCAAGCCGACGCUACAAGGUCUUGGAAGGCCCCCAUGCAUCUUUCGUGGAGUCAGUGCCUUCAAGAACAAUAUCUGCCUUUACGGUCUUCCAGUUUGUGUAUCUCCUGAUAUGCUUCGGCAUAACAUGGAUACCAGUAGCAGGGAUCCUCUUCCCGCUGCCUUUCUUCAUUAUGAUUCUCAUCAGGCAACACCUACUCCCAAAGUUCUUUGAGCCCAAUGACUUGCGGGAACUGGACGCAGCUGAGUACGAAGAACUUGAAGGUGUCCCACAUGAACAAACACCGGAGGAAGAUGGCUCAAAUUCAGGAAGCUGUGACAGCAGAGACGACUCUGAAAUAUUGGAUGAGCUCACAACAAACCGUGGAGAGCUGAAGCACAGAUCCGUAAGCCAUCCUGAAGAAAGGCACCUUCAGAUCCACUCAAAUGCAGUUCAGCCAAGCGUGUGA